rnacentral:rRNA from 1 species
UUAGCGGCGGACGGGUGAGUAACACGUGGAUAACCUACCUAUAAGACUGGGAUAACUUCGGGAAACCGGAGCUAAUACCGGAUAAUAUUUUGAACCGCAUGGUUCAAAAGUGAAAGACGGUCUUGCUGUCACUUAUAGAUGGAUCCGCGCUGCAUUAGCUAGUUGGUAAGGUAACGGCUUACCAAGGCAACGAUGCAUAGCCGACCUGAGAGGGUGAUCGGCCACACUGGAACUGAGACACGGUCCAGACUCCUACGGGAGGCAGCAGUAGGGAAUCUUCCGCAAUGGGCGAAAGCCUGACGGAGCAACGCCGCGUGAGUGAUGAAGGUCUUCGGAUCGUAAAACUCUGUUAUUAGGGAAGAACAUAUGUGUAAGUAACUGUGCACAUCUUGACGGUACCUAAUCAGAAAGCCACGGCUAACUACGUGCCAGCAGCCGCGGUAAUACGUAGGUGGCAAGCGUUAUCCGGAAUUAUUGGGCGUAAAGCGCGCGUAGGCGGUUUUUUAAGUCUGAUGUGAAAGCCCACGGCUCAACCGUGGAGGGUCAUUGGAAACUGGAAAACUUGAGUGCAGAAGAGGAAAGUGGAAUUCCAUGUGUAGCGGUGAAAUGCGCAGAGAUAUGGAGGAACACCAGUGGCGAAGGCGACUUUCUGGUCUGUAACUGACGCUGAUGUGCGAAAGCGUGGGGAUCAAACAGGAUUAGAUACCCUGGUAGUCCACGCCGUAAACGAUGAGUGCUAAGUGUUAGGGGGUUUCCGCCCCUUAGUGCUGCAGCUAACGCAUUAAGCACUCCGCCUGGGGAGUACGACCGCAAGGUUGAAACUCAAAGGAAUUGACGGGGACCCGCACAAGCGGUGGAGCAUGUGGUUUAAUUCGAAGCAACGCGAAGAACCUUACCAAAUCUUGACAUCCUUUGACAACUCUAGAGAUAGAGCCUUCCCCUUCGGGGGACAAAGUGACAGGUGGUGCAUGGUUGUCGUCAGCUCGUGUCGUGAGAUGUUGGGUUAAGUCCCGCAACGAGCGCAACCCUUAAGCUUAGUUGCCAUCAUUAAGUUGGGCACUCUAAGUUGACUGCCGGUGACAAACCGGAGGAAGGUGGGGAUGACGUCAAAUCAUCAUGCCCCUUAUGAUUUGGGCUACACACGUGCUACAAUGGACAAUACAAAGGGCAGCGAAACCGCGAGGUCAAGCAAAUC